GGACGAACGCUGGCGGCGUGCUUAACACAUGCAAGUCGAACGGAAAGGCCCUGCUUUUGUGGGGUGCUCGCGUGGCGAACGGGUGCGUAACACGUGAGUAACCUUCCCUUGACUUUGGGAUAACUUCAGGAAACUGGGGCUAAUACCGGAUAGGUGCUCCUGCUUCUUUGUGGGGUUUGGAAAUUUUCGGCGGUUGGGGUUUGACUCGCUGCUUAUCAGCUUGUUGGUGGGGUAGUGGCUUACCAAGGCUUUGACGGGUAGCCGGCCUGAGAGGGUGACCGGCGACAUUGGGACUGAGAUACGGCACAGACUCCUACGGGAGGCAGCAGUGGGGAAUAUUGCACAAUGGGCGGAAGCCUGAUGAAGAAACGCCGCGUGCGGGAUGACGGCCUUCGGGUUGUAAACCGCUUUCGACUGUGACGAAGAGUGAGUGACGGUAAUGGGUAAAGAAGCAACGGCUAACUACGUG
rnacentral:rRNA from 1 species